rnacentral:lncRNA from 1 species
GAUAGGCAAAGGAACCGACUCUGGCACAAACCAACAGAACGGGAGUUGAUUAGAUCAAAUUUGAAAUCCGAUGUAAAGGCAUCUCUGUGUAGAUACGGCAGAGUAUCGUGUCAGUCGAACAAAUACUUCAAUUUCUAAGUUCGAGAUGGAGAUUUGAUCUUCCAUACGGAUGCCAUACAGGGAUCUAACUUUGAGAAGUGGCUUAGAGUCUUAAAUCUGAAAUGAAAUCCAUAA